rnacentral:misc_RNA from 1 species
AACGCACGAGACCUGCGGACCUGCGGAGGGAUCAUUACUGAGAGUUACAACUAUAAACCCUUGUGAACCAUCUACGUUGCUGCUUCGGCAGGUAAUCCCAGGGCGGGAUUCUAGGCUUCUUAGGGGGCACCUGCCAGCGGUAUACUCUUUCAAACUCUGAAAUUACAGCGUAAUUCUGAGUGUUAAAAAAAAUAAAUUAAAACUUUUAACAAUGGAUCUCU